CUGAGAAAAAAAUUAUAGUAAAACUAACUAUUCAUCCAUUCUUAAUUUUACCAUGCCUAAAAAUAGUAAAAUUGAGCAUGUUAUCAAUGGUGACUACUAUGUUUUUCUCGUAGUUACCAUGUUUUGACAACCAAGCGAAUAGUAGCAAAUACCAUCAAGUAUGGUUAUCUUGAUUACGCUAUUCGUGAUUGUCUGAACCAUGUUCAUACUUGCCUACUACUAUUUUUAUGUUUAACUAUACUAUAUGCAUAAGCUCUUCUUUUUUCAGAAAAUUCGGCAGACACCGCCAUUUUGCGAUAAAGUGUUUGCCACGUUUCCUGCUUCAUAAGAAAUUAUUUGUUAUGGAGAAUUGGUUUUUGUUUUAUAAAAAUGGUGCUUGACCCGCAGUAAUUCAACCAAUUUUCUUCUGCCGGAAGAAAAUCCCAAGAAAAAUCCGACACCAUUCUCACCACCUCUGUUUUUCCAAGGCGAAUAUCGAUGGGAAGUUCCGGAAGUUGGCAGGUUCCAAGGAAAAAAUGUCAAGAAAGAGCAGAGAAAGAGGGGAAAAGCGAGUUCACAGGUUACAAAGUCACUUGAUACCGAUGGAGCUUCCAGAUUAAAGAGCAACCCGAGUCACCUACAAAAAUGAAUGAAUUGCAGCAGAAAUCCCCCCUCCACGGACGACUCCAUCCGAAGAAGGACGUCGGAGCUUUUUCCUAAUUCCGUCUCCUUUAAUUCCUUCACCGUUGUUUAAUCAGGAUACGCCUGUAACCUCCUAACCGAACCGAUGCUCUCGCAACAACUUCGUCCGGAACCACAUCCAGCCGCGUUCAGCAGCUUCCCGGACGUCACAUCAUAGCGGGCCCAAAGAACUUCAAUCGAACCAUUUAUGCCGCUCCGAAAAAAACGAAUAUUCGCAAGAAGGGGACCAAACAGGAUGCUUGACUCCCACGGAGGACAUCCAUCUUAAAGGAAUAUACUUAUGUAUUAUUAAUUAUGUAAUUAUACUUUAUACAAUGCAAUAAAUUUUAUCGAUUUUACUUUUUUUUGCAAUUUUCUGCAAUGUAAACAACGACACAACCAUGCAACCUCUGGCAUAGUAAUCAAAACCCUAAUACGAUGGUUAAAAUUACUAUGUUGAGCACCACGCACAUAGUAAGCUGAACCAUGAAGUGAGGUUCAAAGCUACCAUGGAAUGUGAAUAAAACACGACAUGGUAAAUUGAAAUCUGCACAUGGUAAUUUCAAGAAUAAAUCAUGGUCUACCAAAAUCAAGUGGUAAAAGUGUUUUAAUUUGACCCUCGAUUUGGUCAGCGUUACUAUGUCAGUUUUUUCAGU